AGCCUAAGGGGAAUGGAAGCAUCAACAAAAGACUCCCAGCCAUUGUGGAAGAUGAGGAAGAGGAGGAGGAAGUGGAGGAAGAGGAGACCACCUCCCGCUCUCCUAUCUAUACAAGGGGACCCUCUGCUUCACGCCACAAGAAGACUGUAGGCAACAAGAGCUACCUAGGGUUAAGCCUAAAGCAACUAGCCUCAGGGACAGUACCUUUCCACUCACCCAUCAGAGUCUCCACUGCUAAUUCUCUGAAAGCCAAGCAAGAGGCUGAGCCAUCUAACCACAGCCGAAGGAAAGAGAAGAACCUGAGAGUGCAGCUUUGCAGUGUGAAUAGUGCUGGAACCCCAGAGCUCAGUCCAAGGAUUGUUGAUGGAAUUGAAGAUGGUGACAGCAGUGAGGAAACUCAGACUUUUGACUUUGGCUCUGAACAAAUCAGGCCAGAGCCCAGAAUUUCCCCUCCACUCGGAGACCCGGAGGUUGGAGCCGCUGUUCUGUUCAUCAAGGCUGAGGAAACAAAGCAG